rnacentral:rRNA from 1 species
CAAAAACAUAGCUAUGUGAAAAUAUAGAUAGUAGUUUCUGCUCAGUGAGAUUUAAAUAGCCGCAGUACCUUGACUGUGCAAAGGUAGCGUAAUCAGUUGGCUUUUAAUUGAAGUCUUGUAUCAACGAACAUAUGGGGGCCCGCUUUACCAACAAUACUAAAUGAACUUGCUUAGGGCGUGAAAAUACCCCCUGGACUUAACAGACGAGAAGACCCUAGAAAUUUGCACAAUUGUUUUUGUUGGGGCAACAUAGUAACAUAUAACUUACUCUAUGGGCAAGCAGAAGUUCUGUAAGAAAAAAUUACUCUAGGGAUAACAGCAUAAUGAAUAAUCGUUUGUGACCUCGAUGUUGGAUUAGGAAGUUAUAGUUUAAAAGGUACUUAACUAUGCUCUGUUCGAGCA